rnacentral:rRNA from 1 species
AGCGAACGCUGGCGGCAGGCCUAACACAUGCAAGUCGAACGAACCUUUCGGGGUUAGUGGCGGACGGGUGAGUAACACGUGGGAGCGUGCCUUUAGGUUCGGAAUAACUCAGGGAAACUUGUGCUAAUACCGAAUGUGCCCUUCGGGGGAAAGAUUUAUCGCCUUUAGAGCGGCCCGCGUCUGAUUAGCUAGUUGGUUGAGGUAAUGGCUCACCAAGGCGACGAUCAGUAGCUGGUCUGAGAGGAUGAUCAGCCACAUUGGGACUGAGACACGGCCCAAACUCCUACGGGAGGCAGCAGUGGGGAAUCUUGCGCAAUGGGCGAAAGCCUGACGCAGCCAUGCCGCGUGAAUGAUGAAGGUCUUAGGAUUGUAAAAUUCUUUCACCGGGGACGAUAAUGACGGUACCCGGAGAAGAAGCCCCGGCUAACUUCGUG